UACGUAGGGUGCUAGCGUUGUUCGGAAUCAUUGGGCGUAAAGCGCGUGUAGGCGGCUAAUUAAGUCGAGUGUGAAAUCCCCAGGCUCAACCUGGGAAGUGCGUUCGAAACUCAUUAGCUGGAAGACGGUAGAGGAAGGUAGAAUUCCUAGUGUAGAGGUGAAAUUCGUAGAUAUUAGGAGGAACACCGGUUGCGAAGGCGGCCUUCUGGACCGUUCUUGACGCUGAGACGCGAAAGCGUGGGGAGCAAACAA
rnacentral:rRNA from 1 species